AGUGAACGCUGGCGGUAGGCCUAACACAUGCAAGUCGAACGGCAGCACAGUAAGAGCUUGCUCUUACGGGUGGCGAGUGGCGGACGGGUGAGGAAUACAUCGGAAUCUACUUUUUCGUGGGGGAUAACGUAGGGAAACUUACGCUAAUACCGCAUACGACCUACGGGUGAAAGCAGGGGAUCUUCGGACCUUGCGCGAUUGAAUGAGCCGAUGUCGGAUUAGCUAGUUGGCGGGGUAAAGGCCCACCAAGGCGACGAUCCGUAGCUGGUCUGAGAGGAUGAUCAGCCACACUGGAACUGGGACACGGUCCAGACUCCUACGGGAGGCAGCAGUGGGGAAUAUUGGACAAUGGGCGCAAGCCUUAUCCAGCCAUACCGCGUGGGUGAAGAAGGCCUUCGGGUUGUAAAGCCCUUUUGUUGGGAAAGAAAAGCAGCAGGUUAAUACCCCGCUGUUCUGACGGUACCCAAAGAAUAAGCACCGGCUAACUUCGUG
rnacentral:rRNA from 1 species